rnacentral:rRNA from 1 species
UCCAGACUCCUACGGGAGGCAGCAGUGAGGAAUAUUGGUCAAUGGCCGGAAGGCUGAACCAGCCAAGCCGCGUGAAGGACGAAGGUGCCAAGCAUUGUAAACUUCUUUUGUCAAGGGACAAAAUCAGGCUCGAGAGCCUGACCGAGGGUACUUGAAGAAAAAGCAUCGGCUAACUCCGUGCCGGCAGCCGCGGUAAUACGGAGGAUGCGAGCGUUAUCCGGAUUUAUUGGGUUUAAAGGGUGCGUAGGCGGUCGGAUAAGUUAGAGGUGAAAUCCCGAGGCUCAACUUCGGAAUUGCCUCUGAUACUGUUCGGCUAGAGAGUAGUUGCGGUAGGCGGAAUGUAUGGUGUAGCGGUGAAAUGCUUAGAGAUCAUACAGAACACCGAUUGCGAAGGCAGCUUACCAAGCUACUUCUGACGUUGAGGCACGAAAGCGUGGGGAGCAAACAGGAUUAGAUACCCUAGUA